rnacentral:rRNA from 1 species
GACGAACGCUGGCGGCGUGCUUAACACAUGCAAGUCGAACGGUAAGGCCCUUCGGGGUACACGAGUGGCGAACGGGUGAGUAACACGUGGGUGAUCUGCCCUGCACUUCGGGAUAAGCCUGGGAAACUGGGUCUAAUACCGGAUAGGACCACUGCCUGCAUGGGUGGUGGUGGAAAGCUUUUGCGGUGUGGGAUGGGCCCGCGGCCUAUCAGCUUGUUGGUGGGGUGAUGGCCUACCAAGGCGACGACGGGUAGGCGGCCUGGGAGGGUGACCGGCCACACUGGGACUGAGAUACGGCCCAGACUCCUACGGGAGGCAGCAGUGGGGAAUAUUGCACAAUGGGCGCAAGCCUGAUGCAGCGACGCCGCGUGAGGGAUGACGGCCUUCGGGUUGUAAACCUCUUUCAGCACCGACGAAGCGCAAGUGACGGUAGGUGCAGAAGAAGGACCGGCCAACUACGUGCCAGCCGCCGCAGUAA